rnacentral:rRNA from 1 species
AGCGAACGCUGGCGGCAGGCCUAACACAUGCAAGUCGAACGAAGUCUUCGGACUUAGUGGCGGACGGGUGAGUAACACGUGGGAACGUGCCUUUAGGUUCGGAAUAACUCAGGGAAACUUGUGCUAAUACCGAACGUGCCCUUCGGGGGAAAGAUUUAUCGCCUUUAGAGCGGCCCGCGUCUGAUUAGCUAGUUGGUGAGGUAAAGGCUCACCAAGGCUACGAUCAGUAGCUGGUCUGAGAGGAUGACCAGCCACAUUGGGACUGAGACACGGCCCAAACUCCUACGGGAGGCAGCAGUGGGGAAUCUUGCGCAAUGGGCGAAAGCCUGACGCAGCCAUGCCGCGUGGAUGAUGAAGGUCUUAGGAUUGUAAAAUCCUUUCACCGGUGAAGAUAAUGACUGUAGCCGGAGAGGAAGCCCCGGCUAACUUCGUGCCAGCAGCCGCCGUAAUAC